UACGAAGGGGGCUAGCGUUGCUCGGAAUUACUGGGCGUAAAGGGUGCGUAGGCGGAUAGUUUAGUCAGAGGUGAAAGCCCAGGGCUCAACCUUGGAAUUGCCUUUGAUACUGGCUAUCUUGAGUACGGGAGAGGUGUGUGGAACUCCGAGUGUAGAGGUGAAAUUCGUAGAUAUUCGGAAGAACACCAGUGGCGAAGGCGACACACUGGCCCGUUACUGACGCUGAGGCUCGAAAGCGUGGGGAGCAAACAGG
rnacentral:rRNA from 1 species